CAAGUCGAACGCGAAAGGGGAGCAAUCCCUGAGUAGAGUGGCAAACGGGUGAGUAACACGUGGGUGACCUGCCUCAGAGUGGGGGAUAACGUCCCGAAAGGGACGCUAAUACCGCAUAACAUCCUGCCUUUGGAAAGGCGGAGAUCAAAGCCGGGGAUCGCAAGACCUGGCGCUUGGAGAGGGGCCCGCGUCUGAUUAGCUAGUUGGUAGGGUAAUGGCCUACCAAGGCAACGAUCAGUAUCCGGCCUGAGAGGGCGGACGGACACACUGGGACUGAGACACGGCCCAGACUCCUACGGGAGGCAGCAGUGGGGAAUUGUUCGCAAUGGGCGCAAGCCUGACGACGCAACGCCGCGUGGAGGAUGAAGAUCUUCGGGUCGUAAACUCCUGUCGAGCGGGACGAACACCUAUCCGGCUAACAUCCGGGAAGGCUGACGGUACCGCUAAAGGAAGCCCCGGCUAACUCCGUGCCAGCAGCCGCGGUAAUACGGGGGGGGCAAGCGUUGUUCGGAAUUACUGGGCGUAAAGGGCUCGUAGGCGGCCAACUAAGUCGGACGUGAAAUCCCCAGGCUCAACCUGGGAACUGCGUCCGAUACUGGAUGGCUUGAAUCCGGGAGAGGGAUGCAGAAUUCCAGGUGUAGCGGUGAAAUGCGUAGAUAUCUGGAGGAAUACCGGUGGCGAAGGCGGCAUCCUGGACCGGCAUUGACGCUGAGGAGCGAAAGCCAGGGGAGCAAACGGGAUUAGAUACCCCGGUAGUCCUGGCCCUAAACGAUGAAUGCUUGGUGUAACGGGUAUCGAUCCCUGUU
rnacentral:rRNA from 1 species